GCGGUGGCAAUGAAUGGUUGUGAAGCCCCCUGAAAGAGGGAUGGGUUUGACUACGGAUCAGAAGGUUGGGGAUUCGAGUUCUCCCGGGCGCGCCA
rnacentral:tRNA from 1 species